UGUCUGGUAGUGAGAUAUAUUAUGAUCUCUAUCACAAUAUUAUUGAAACUCUUUUCAAUGGAUUGGAACAAUCCAACUCAGCCUACUAAGGAUCAUUGAUCAUCAAGACGAUCCUUAUGAGUCUCACAAUCCACCAGUGACACUUAGCAGUAUGUAAUUGAUAAUCCAAUAGAACAACAUAUGAACCUCUAAGUACAGUUAGCGUAUGAUACAGUCCCUCUAUCGUGAGUCCCAACC
rnacentral:lncRNA from 1 species